rnacentral:rRNA from 1 species
GAUGAACGCUAGCUACAGGCUUAACACAUGCAAGUCGAGGGGCAGCAUGAAAGGAACUUCGGUUCUUUUUGAUGGCGACCGGCGCACGGGUGCGUAACGCGUAUCGAACCUGCCUCAUACUCGGGGAUAGCCUUGCGAAAGUAAGAUUAAUACCCGGCGGUCUCGGAUGGCCGCAUGACUAUCCGAGUGAAGAUUUAUCGGUAUGAGAUGGCGAUGCGUCCCAUUAGCUAGUUGGUGAGGUAAUGGCUCACCAAGGCAUCGAUGGGUAGGGGUUCUGAGAGGAAGGUCCCCCACAUUGGAACUGAGACACGGUCCAAACUCCUACGGGAGGCAGCAGUGAGGAAUAUUGGUCAAUGGGCGGAAGCCUGAACCAGCCAAGUAGCGUGCAGGACGACGGCCCUAUGGGUUGUAAACUGCUUUCAGUCGGGAAUAAUUCGUCGGUCGUGACCGACGUUGCAGGUACCGUCAUAAGAAGGACCGGCUAAUUCCGUGCCAGCAGCCGCGGUAAUACGGAAGAUGCGAGCGUUAUCCGGAAUUAUUGGGUUUAAAGGGUGCGUAGGCUGUUUGUUAAGUCAGGGGUGAAAUACCGCAGCUCAACUGUGGAAUUGCCUUUGAUACUAGCAGGCUUGAAUACUGUUGCCGUGGGAGGAAUGAGUAGUGUAGCGGUGAAAUGCAUAGAUAUUACUCAGAACACCGAUUGCGAAGGCAUCUCACGAAGCAGGCAUUGACGCUGAGGCACGAAAGCGUGGGGAUCAAACAGG